rnacentral:rRNA from 1 species
UGGGGAAUAUUGCGCAAUGGGGGGAACCCUGACGCAGCCAUGCCGCGUGAAUGAAGAAGGCCUUGGGGUUGUAAAGUUCUUUCGGUAUUGAGGAAGGUUGAUGUGUUAAUAGCACAUCAAAUUGACGUUAAAUACAGAAGAAGCACCGGCUAACUCCGUGCCAGCAGCCGCGGUAAUACGGAGGGUGCGAGCGUUAAUCGGAAUAACUGGGCGUAAAGGGCACGCAGGCGGUUAUUUAAGUGAGGUGUGAAAGCCCCGGGCUUAACCUGGGAAUUGCAUUUCAGACUGGGUAACUAGAGUACUUUAGGGAGGGGUAGAAUUCCACGUGUAGCGGUGAAAUGCGUAGAGAUGUGGAGGAAUACCGAAGGCGAAGGCAGCCCCUUGGGAAUGUACUGACGCUCAUGUGCGAAAGCGUGGGGAGCAAACAGGAUUAGAUACCCUGGUAGUCCACGCUGUAAACGCUGUCGAUUUGGGGGUUGGGGUUUAACUCUGGCGCCCGUAGCUAACGUGAUAAAUCGACCGCCUGGGGAGUACGGCCGCAAGGUUA